GUUGUAUGGUUAAGUGACUAAGCGUACACGGUGGAUGCCUUGGCAGUCAGAGGCGAUGAAAGACGUAGUAACUUGCGAUAAGCCCAGAUUAGGUAGUAACAACCAUUUGAGUCUGGGAUUUCUGAAUGGGGAAACCCACGUGCAUAAGCACGUAUCCUUACCUGAAUACAUAGGGUAAGGAGGCGAACCGGGGGAACUGAAACAUCUAAGUACCCCGAGGAAAAGAAAUCAACCGAGAUUCCGAAAGUAGCGGCGAGCGAAAUUGGACUAGCCCUUAAGCUUUACACGCGUUAGACGAACGGUCUGGAAAGUCCGACGAUACAGGGUGAUAGUCCCGUAGUUGACGACGUGUGUUCAGUGAAAUCGAGUAGGGCGGGACACGUGAUAUCCUGUCUGAAUAUGGGGGGACCAUCCUCCAAGGCUAAAUACUACUGACUGACCGAUAGUGAACCAGUACCGUGAGGGAAAGGCGAAAAGAACCCCUGUGAGGGGAGUGAAAUAGAACCUGAAACCGUGUACGUACAAGCAGUAGGAGCACCUUCGUGGUGUGACUGCGUACCUUUUGUAUAAUGGGUCAGCGACUUAUAUUCAGUGGCAAGGUUAACCAUCUAGGGGAGCCGUAGGGAAACCGAGUCUUAACUGGGCGUUCAGUCUCUGGAUAUAGACCCGAAACCAGGUGAUCUAGCCAUGGGCAGGUUGAAGGUUGAGUAACAUCAACUGGAGGACCGAACCGACUAAUGUUGAAAAAUUAGCGGAUGACUUGUGGCUAGGGGUGAAAGGCCAAUCAAACCUGGAGAUAGCUGGUUCUCCCCGAAAGCUAUUUAGGUAGCGCCUCGGACGAAUACUACUGGGGGUAGAGCACUGUUAAGGCUAGGGGGUCAUCCCGACUUACCAACCCUUUGCAAACUCCGAAUACCAGUAAGUACUAUCCGGGAGACACACGGCGGGUGCUAACGUCCGUCGUGGAGAGGGAAACAACCCAGACCGCCAGCUAAGGUCCCAAAUUACUACUAAGUGGGAAACGAUGUGGGAAGGCUCAGACAGCCAGGAUGUUGGCUUAGAAGCAGCCAUCAUUUAAAGAAAGCGUAAUAGCUCACUGGUCGAGUCGGCCUGCGCGGAAGAUGUAACGGGGCUAAGUAGUAAACCGAAGCUGCGGCAAUAUACUUUUGUAUAUUGGGUAGGGGAGCGUUCUGUAAGCGGUUGAAGGUGUGUGGUAACGCAUGCUGGACGUAUCAGAAGUGCGAAUGCUGACAUGAGUAACGAUAAAGGGGGUGAAAAACCUCCUCGCCGGAAGACCAAGGGUUCCUGUCCAACGUUAAUCGGGGCAGGGUAAGUCGACCCCUAAGGCGAGGCCGAAAGGCGUAGUCGAUGGGAAACGGGUUAAUAUUCCCGUACUUCUUACAAUUGCGAUGGGGGGACGGAGAAGGCUAGGUGGGCCUGGCGACGGUUGUCCAGGUUCAAGUGCGUAGGCUUAAGAGUUAGGUAAAUCCGGCUCUUUUUAAGGCUGAGACACGACGUCGAGCACCUACGGGUGUGAAGUCAUUGAUGCCAUGCUUCCAGGAAAAGCCUCUAAGCUUCAGAUUGUAAGGAAUCGUACCCCAAACCGACACAGGUGGUCGGGUAGAGAAUACCAAGGCGCUUGAGAGAACUCGGGUGAAGGAACUAGGCAAAAUGGUACCGUAACUUCGGGAGAAGGUACGCUCUCGACGGUGAAGUCCCUUGCGGAUGGAGCUAUUGAGAGUCGCAGAUACCAGGUGGCUGCAACUGUUUAUUAAAAACACAGCACUGUGCAAAAUCGUAAGAUGACGUAUACGGUGUGACGCCUGCCCGGUGCCGGAAGGUUAAUUGAUGGGGUUAGACUUCGGUCGAAGCUCUUGAUCGAAGCCCCGGUAAACGGCGGCCGUAACUAUAACGGUCCUAAGGUAGCGAAAUUCCUUGUCGGGUAAGUUCCGACCUGCACGAAUGGCGUAAUGAUGGCCACGCUGUCUCCACCCGAGACUCAGUGAAAUUGAAAUCGCUGUGAAGAUGCAGUGUACCCGCGGCUAGACGGAAAGACCCCGUGAACCUUUACUACAGCUUGGCACUGAACAUUGACCCUACAUGUGUAGGAUAGGUGGGAGGCUUUGAAGCACGUACGCCAGUAUGUGUGGAGCCGUCCUUGAAAUACCACCCUUGUAGUGUUGAUGUUCUAACGUCGACCCCUUAUCGGGGUUGCGGACAGUGCCUGGUGGGUAGUUUGACUGGGGCGGUCUCCUCCCAAAGAGUAACGGAGGAGCACGAAGGUGGGCUAAUCACGGUUGGACAUCGUGAGGUUAGUGCAAUGGCAUAAGCCCGCUUGACUGCGAGAAUGACAAUUCGAGCAGGUGCGAAAGCAGGUCAUAGUGAUCCGGUGGUUCUGAAUGGAAGGGCCAUCGCUCAACGGAUAAAAGGUACUCCGGGGAUAACAGGCUGAUACCGCCCAAGAGUUCAUAUCGACGGCGGUGUUUGGCACCUCGAUGUCGGCUCAUCACAUCCUGGGGCUGAAGUCGGUCCCAAGGGUAUGGCUGUUCGCCAUUUAAAGUGGUACGCGAGCUGGGUUUAGAACGUCGUGAGACAGUUCGGUCCCUAUCUGCCGUGGGCGUUGGAAGAUUGAAGGGGGCUGCUCCUAGUACGAGAGGACCGGAGUGGACGAACCUCUGGUGUUCGGGUUGUGUCGCCAGACGCAUUGCCCGGUAGCUAAGUUCGGAAUCGAUAACCGCUGAAAGCAUCUAAGCGGGAAGCGAGCCCUGAGAUGAGUCUUCCCUGAUACUUUAAGUAUCCUAAAGGGUUGUCGGAGACUACGACGUUGAUAGGUCAGGUGUGUAAGUGCUGUGAGGCAUUGAGCUAACUGAUACUAAUUGCCCGUGAGGCUUAACCAUACAACACCCAAGGGGUUU
rnacentral:rRNA from 1 species